rnacentral:rRNA from 1 species
GACGAACGCUGGCGGCGUGCUUAACACAUGCAAGUCGAACGGAAAGGCCCUGCUUUUGUGGGGUGCUCGAGUGGCGAACGGGUGAGUAACACGUGAGUAACCUGCCCUUGACUUUGGGAUAACUUCAGGAAACUGGGGCUAAUACCGGAUAGGAGCUCCUGCUGCAUGGUGGGGGUUGGAAAGUUUCGGCGGUUGGGGAUGGACUCGCGGCUUAUCAGCUUGUUGGUGGGGUAGUGGCUUACCAAGGCUUUGACGGGUAGCCGGCCUGAGAGGGUGACCGGCCACAUUGGGACUGAGAUGCGGCCCAGACUCCUACGGGAGGCAGCAGUGGGGAAUAUUGCACAAUGGGCGGAAGCCUGAUGCAGCAACGCCGCGUGCGGGAUGACGGCCUUCGGGUUGUAAACCGCUUUCGCCUGUGACGAAGCGUGAGUGACGGUAAUGGGUAAAGAAGCACCGGCUAACUAC